AUUCCAAGUUGAACUUAAGCAUAUCAAUAAGCGGAGGAAAAGAAAGUAAGUAGGAUUCCCCUGGUAACUGCGAGUGAAGGGGGAAAAGCUCAAAUUGAAAAUCUGGCAGUCUUUGAUUGUCCGAGUUGUAAUUUAGAGAAGUGUUCCCCGUGUUGCACCGUGUACAAGUUGCCCAGAAUGUAUCGUCAUAGAGGGUGAGAAUCCCGUCUUUGACACGGAUCCCAAUGCAUUGUGUGUAUACUUUCGAAUAGUCGAGUUGUUUGGGAAUGCAGCUCUAAAUAGGUGGUAAAUUCCAUCCAAAGCUAAAUAUUGGGGAGAGACCGAGAGCGAACAAGUACAGUGAUGGAAAGAUGAAAAGAACUUUGGAAAGAGAGUUAAACAGUACGUGAAAUUGUUGAAAGGGAAGCGCUCAUGACCAGUCUUGUGCCCGGUGAAUCAUCCAGCGCUCGUCGACUGGUGCACCUUUGCCGGGCUCAGGCCAGCAUCAGUGCGCUCCGGGGGACAAUGGCUCUGAGAAUGUGGCUCCUCCGGGAGUGUUAUAGCCCACUGCGCAAUACCCUGGGGCGGACUGAGGUUCGCGCAUUCGUGCAAGGUUGCUGGCGUAAUCGCUCAUCAGUGACCCGUCCUAGAACACGAAAUGU
rnacentral:rRNA from 1 species